GCGCACGUACUGGUAGUCUGCAGGUUCCACCGACUCAGAUACUCAUUCACUUUGAAAUUAUUCGAAGUUAGUCCCAAUCGAAAGACAUACAUAAUCAAAUAGCGUACGUGAUUAUGGUGGAUGUUUUUAAAAUAAACAACACAAUCCUUCGUUAAAGCCUGGAAAAUAGGCUUAACAACAUGUUCUAGCCUAUUUUCCAAGCUAUUACUGCUGAAACACUUUCCAAAUAGUCAACACAAUUUGAGGCGGGACACUCAAGGGACAUCAUUUUCGACAAUUAACAACGGAACUUGGGUGCGCGUCACAAAAGUGUCACACGUUCGGGGUUCCCCCCGUGAGCUGAAGCUGGGCGUCGGCGGGGCACGGCGGAGCUGAGCGUGACAGUCAGGACCACCACCACCACAGCAUCCCCAUAGGGAGGGGGGCAUGCCUGCAGAGGCAUAACCACUCAGGGACCAGCAUGGAGGAGUGGAGGAGAAGGGGGAGGAAUUGGAGAAUAGAUAAUCUCAGGGACACCUGUGGCCAGCCACUGUCUCCGUCACAAACAACCGCCUUUGCAAAUCAGCGAGGGAACCGGGAGGAUACGCCCAGUCAGACGAUUGGAACAACAACGGCUCAUGAUGAAACCUCUCUGCCUAAAAAAUUAGCCACGCCGUGUUGCAGGGGUGAGCAGGAGUGUGUAGCCCAACUCAGGGGAGGACAAGACAAGAGAAGAGACUUCUCCAAAUCCUCAGGUCUAGUUGCUGAGGAGGUAACCCCAGUGGGGGUGGUGGAGGUGCACCACCUAUGACAGAUUUGUCCUGCACUUUGUGGUGUUACUUUGUGGGUCUCUCAGCGGACACAGGCAGGUAACUUCACAGUCUACUUCUCCGAGAUCGUUUUUUUCCCACCGCUAGCAGCCCGGUGAGAAAUAAAGAAUACUUCAUGGAUGGAAAAGUUGUGUCGGUGGUUGUCCCAAAAUCCCAACUGCUGACAAAUUGACGUCAAAAAUCCAAUUUAAUUUGGAUAAAGAUGCUUAGCGAUAAUCUAUGUCUCCCUUUUGAACACAUCUUAUUAGUUGGAGGUCUUCCUGCUGUGGCAUAAAGGUGAUGAAAUGUCUCUUUUAAGAGGGAAAUAGGGGAAAGAGGGGAUCUUUGUAAAGUCCUACAUCUUUAGCCUCUGCUUUGGGAAAUAAGUGAUGGGACGAACCCACUCAAUGAACCCACGACCCCAGCACCUCUCUAGUCCUGUAUGUGACCUGAUCACGGUCUCUUAAUAUAUCUAAAAUAUAGAUCUAAUGAAUGCUACCAAUCACGACUCAGCUCGUGUUCACUGCCCUAGAACUUAUCCGCAAGUCUUUGCAAGGGUCUAGAAAAUUAUUAUUUAUUUCCUGCCCGAACGCAUUUAUAUUUCCACCCCAGUUAAUGCCGAUGAUUACCUAAUGACCGGAGGAAUAUGCAAACCGUAAUGAUGUAUAAUAAUAACAGUACACGGGUGCAGCAGCGUAUAUGUAUUACCUCUUUCUUCAAGGCUGCGAUGCUAUUGUGGUCCUAUCGUGUUUCCAUCCAAAAGCAUACACACACACCGACACACAUGCUUGCACUCCACACACAUAUACACACACAUGCAUUCACACACCACACACACACACACAAACACACACACAUAGACACGCAUGCAUGAAGACACACACACACACACGCAUGCUCACC